rnacentral:rRNA from 1 species
UAAGGAAUAUUGGUCAAUGGACGCAAGUCUGAACCAGCCAUGCCGCGUGGAGGAUUAAGGCCCUCUGGGUUGUAAACUCCUUUUAUCUGGGAAGAAAUGUACUUUUUCUUGAGUACUUGACGGUACCAGAGGAAUAAGCACCGGCUAACUCCGUGCCAGCAGCCGCGGUAAUACGGAGGGUGCAAGCGUUAUCCGGAUUCACUGGGUGUAAAGGGCGCGCAGGCGGGAUAAAAAGUCAGUGGUGAAAUCCUACAGCUUAACUGUAGAACUGCCUUUGAUACUUUUAUUCUUGAGUUCGGGAGAGAGAGACGGAAUUCCAGGUGUAGUGGUGAAAUACGUAGAUAUCUGGAAGAACACCAGUUGCGAAGGCGGUCUCUUGGUCCGACACUGACGCUGAGGCGCGAAAGCGUGGGGAGCAAACA